UUUUCAGCAGCCGCGGUAAUACGGAGGGUGCGAGCGUUGUCCGGAAUCACUGGGCGUAAAGGGCGCGUAGGCGGUUCGUUAAGUUGCUGGUGAAAUCCCGGGGCUCAACUCCGGGGCUGCCGGCAAGACUGGCGGGCUAGAGCACGGUAGAGGCGGAUGGAAUUCCCGGUGUAGCGGUGGAAUGCGUAGAUAUCGGGAAGAAUACCGGUGGCGAAGGCGUUCCGCUGGGCCGUUGCUGACGCUGAGGCGCGACAGCGUGGGGAGCAAACAGGAUUAGAUACCCUUGUAGUCC
rnacentral:rRNA from 1 species